AUCGUCUUCGAGUUAAUAUAUAAUCGUGGAACAGUGAGGUUGAAAUAGUUAAAAGUUUUGUUGGCAGAUUUAACGGUGAAAUGUGUAAAUAAUCUAGGCUAGGUAUAACGGUUUUAAUUGUAUUUUUUUUACUUUUAGCUGUUGUUUGGUCGUGCUAUGUGUUGUGAAACUUUAAAAAUUUAGGCUGAGAAAGCUGUACAUUAAAAACAAGGAUUAGAGACCCUUUUAUUUAGGCUGAAACUAGGUUUUCCAUGGGUAUGAUGAACGUUAUAAUAAGUUUAGUAGCUUAUGAGAGUUGGCGGCAUUUUGCAACCUUUUAGGGGAACUUGGCGUUUAAAUCGAUGAUCCUCGAAAAUCUUACCUCUAAUUUUCCUUUCAUACCGCCGUUGUCAGCGAGUUUUGAAAAAUUGAUUCGCAUAUACAAAGUCUAAAUUAAUUUAGUGAGAUGUUUUUGUUUGUGAGAAUUCAGGUAGACGUGUAGGUGUUUUAGAGGGAUUAGCUGAGUUACAAUUAUCAAAUAAUAGCGGAUGAAUAAGUUUUUCUACUAGUGUGUAGCUAACUAAGUUGGGUUGAGUGUUUUUUAUACUAGGGCUUCUGAAAAGUAUCUCNGAAGAUGGACUUUAUAG
rnacentral:rRNA from 1 species